GACGAACGCUGGCGGCGUGCUUAACACAUGCAAGUCGAGCGGUAAGGCCUUUCGGGGUACACGAGCGGCGAACGGGUGAGUAACACGUGGGUGAUCUUCCCUGCACUCUGGGAUAAGCCUGGGAAACUGGGUCUAAUACUGGAUAUGACCUCAGCAUGCAUGUGCUGGGGUGGAAAGCGUUGGUGGUGCAGGAUGGGCCCGCGGCCUAUCAGCUUGUUGGUGGGGUAAUGGACUACCAAGGCGACGACGGGUAGCCGACCUGAGAGGGUGACCGGCCACACUGGGACUGAGACACGGCCCAGACUCAUACGGGAGGCAGCAGUGGGGAAUAUUGCACAAUGGGCGGAAGCCUGAUGCAGCGACGCCGCGUGAGGGAUGAAGGCCUUCGGGUUGUAAACCUCUUUCAGCAGGGACGAAGCGUGAGUGACGGUACCUGCAGAAGAAGCACCGGUUAACUACGUGCCAGCAGCCGCUGUAAUAC
rnacentral:rRNA from 1 species